rnacentral:lncRNA from 1 species
GAAAGCAGUACAUCUGGCGAUCCGGACUGCCCCGCGCCUCCAUCCAUUUUAGAGAAAGCAAUAUUCUGUUCUCAGCAGUUUUCUAUAGGUUUACCCAGCAAAAUCUCCCAGCUUGGAAGCCAGCAAUGACACCUGGAUUUGUAAUAGAAUGGUUUGAUAAAGGUUAGCUAGAAUUUUACUGUCAUCUCUGUGUGGAAGGUGUCAAUGAAUCAUUAACAGUUUUGACCAAUGUCUUCUUGACUUCAUGUUUCCAUUGCCUUUCUUAUAAAAUGCAGCUACAUGUACAUGUAUCUGGCACAAUGACAGAUUCUAUCUUCAAGAAAGUUUUCACAAAGAAUGUUGCCGCCGCAC